UGGGGAAUUUUGGACAAUGGGCGAAAGCCUGAUCCAGCAAUGCCGCGUGUGUGAAGAAGGCCUUCGGGUUGUAAAGCACUUUUGUCCGGAAAGAAAUCCUUGGCUCUAAUACAGUCGGGGGAUGACGGUACCGGAAGAAUAAGCACCGGCUAACUACGUGCCAGCAGCCGCGGUAAUACGUAGGGUGCAAGCGUUAAUCGGAAUUACUGGGCGUAAAGCGUGCGCAGGCGGUUUGCUAAGACCGAUGUGAAAUCCCCGGGCUCAACCUGGGAACUGCAUUGGUGACUGGGCAGGCUAGAGUAUGGCAGAGGGGGGUAGAAUUCCACGUGUAGCAGUGAAAUGCGUAGAGAUGUGGAGGAAUACCGAUGGCGAAGGCAGCCCCCUGGGCCAAUACGACGCUCAUGCACGAAAGCGUGGGGAGCAAAACAGGAUUAGAUACCCUGGUAGUCCACGCCCUAAACGAUGUCAACUAGUUGUUGGGGAUUCAUUUCCUUAGUAACGUAGCUAACGCGUGAAGUUGACCGCCUGGGGAGUACGGUCGCAAGAUUAAAACUCAAAGGAAUUGACGGGGUCAUAGCUGUUUCCU
rnacentral:rRNA from 1 species